UCCUCGGUGGUCCACCGGUUAAGGCUCUGCCCUUCCAAUGCAGCUGGUGCAGGUUCAAACCCUGGCCAGGGAA
rnacentral:tRNA from 1 species